CCGCGCUCAGUCGCUUGCGCCUCAGAGAGAACUCGUUCCUCCUCUUUGGUUCGAAGCGUUUCCCUGCGUGAGGGACUGCCUCGAGCUGUGAAGGACGCCGACGCAGCUGGGUCGCCGAGUGUCUCUGGCGAUUUCUGUGCCGCGAUUCGCCCCGCAUUUCCAGGGCCUCCGGCUAGCACGGAGUCCUGCACAGGAGAGGGCGGAAGCGACAGUCUCCGUUUUUCCUUUCUGCCGCUGCCUCGCUUUUGCUCGUGUCCAUUCUCGACUGCCUCGCUCUGUCUCUUCCACGCGACUCUCUUCACUCUCUUGCGCCCUCCCCGGCGCUCGCCUCGGCCCCCGAGCCCCGCCGUCGCUGCGUGUUCCUGUUUUGGUCGAGGGGCGAGAGAAGAGAGAGUUGAGGGCCCCGGUACGCGCCUCGGUCUCCCGCGCUUUCUCCGUCUCUCCUCGCCGUUCCCACAGCUUGCCUCGACUUCUGUGCUUUGUAGGGCAUGCAUGUCCGUCCUUUCCGGACCCGAGCAGGAUCGUCCAGCACUGCGUCGCCGGCGCCGAGCUGUGUCCUCAGAGGCCUGCAUCCGUUCCCGUCUUCCGUCGUUCGUACCCCGCUUCUGCCCCGCAGACCGCCGACCCACUUCCUUUCUGGAAUCGUCGAACUGUCCAGAGAGGCGCCGUGCCCCCGCCCGUCUCGCCUUUCGGGCUUCUGGUGAAAGACCCAUGGCCGCGGACCACUCCAGGGGGAGAAACGUUUCCUGCCGUCGAGGCGCCGCUCGCGAAAAAAAACCAGGGAACGAACGGAAGAGGCCUCAGUUCGGGCAGGGUUUUAAGCGGACCGCGAAGGAGACAGCACUUUUGGGCGAGAAGCGGCGUUCUUCCAGUUUCAACCGCAGGCUGUUUUCGUCUCUGCGCAGCCACUGCAAAUACGGACUUGCGAGUUCUUGCCAGUCAGGAUGCAAUCCAGGAUUCCGCUCCAAUCCAUUUCCUGUCGCGCGACGGCAGCGGAAAGGGACGGGGGUGUCGGCACGUGUCGCUGGAGAGGAGCGUUCGCGUGUUUUGUGUUCCCUGGAAUCCUUGCCUUCCUUCCUUCUUAGGCCUUGUUUUUUUCGACCCGGAAGUAGCUAACCACGAGAAAAACUCUAGAGAAACUGCCUCGCCGGCGGACGAUGCUCUCGGACUUCGGUGUGCGGUCAACGGGCGGCCAAACUCGAGCGCUGAACGGCAGAGCGCCGGGAGGUGUAGCGUCACUUGUUUCCUGGAGGCCGUUGUGUAGACCAAAAGACGCAGAGGCGUCUAUGAUCUCAUCGAUCGCAUCUCGCAAGACCGGGGCCGCGAGCGGGUGCACGCGAGACCACACAGGCGUUUGUUCUCCGCCAUGCGGCUAGCAGUUAGAGCUAGGGCCCCGCUGACCUACAGGGGCUAAGAGGCAAACAGGGGGGAUCAAACAGGGGAUGCACACGUGGACGUUUACUGACAGAUCUCAUCGCUGGUUGGCGGACCUUUGGUGGACGGCGGGGCGGAGUCGGCGCGGCUCCAUGGUUUUUGUUGAGUGACUGUCUGCUGUGUUCCUGGCGGCGAGCUUAGAAAUUUGACUACGGAGGCAGCGCUAUUCUUGACGCCUAGGACGAGGCAAACCGCGCCUUCCGAGGAAAGAAAGGGGAAAAACAGAAACUGAGAGCGACGUUGCUGGAAAGGCAGCCGCUGUUCGCCCGUCCCGCGAGUCUGAGCUCGGGUCACCCGUGCAGAUAUAUCGAGUUGGUGGGAGGGCCGGAGCACACACAGAGAGCGGCCGAAGAAAGGACGAACUCGCGCGAGAAACAUGAGUGACACCGAAAAAACAGAUGAAGACAUGGGCUGAAGACGCUUUCGAUGUGUCGUUUUUCUCCGGCACGGAAAACACUUUCACUCUCCCCGGUUUUUCUUCGAGCAACAGAUGCGCGCAGCGCAGCCGUCAAGGCAGCUGGUGCCUCCCUCGCCCCGGUUGACUCUCUGCAGCCUUUCUGAGACAGGAAAUCGCCGGUUUCCGGUGGGGAGAGAAAAGGACAGCUUUUCGCCCACCACUCAUUUCCUUUGGAAAGAAGAGGAAAGACCUCGAGGAAAGGACGAGCUAAAGGAGCUGGCCCAGAUGUCCGAACUGAAGUCGUAGACGGCCGCACACCACAUGGACCGACGAUCUGCUCACUCUUUGGUGCACACAAUGGAGGGCGCUUUCUUGCAGAACCUCCUCUACGAGGGGGCGAGAUCUCGGCACUCACCGCAAAAAGAGGAAGAACAGAGAAGAGGAAACCAGCAACCAGGAAUCCGCUCUCAUCAGUCAGCUCUACGGACCAGCGACACUGACGACGGGCGGAUCAUUGACUGAGCAUCUCUUCAAUGAAAUUUUUCCGAGGCGCGACCACCUGACCGAUCUUCUCACCUCCGCGAUUUUCUCGCAGCGGUCCCUCCCCAUGCCGCGUUGCUCGCCACCCCGUUUCGCGGCUCCGAGACCCAGAGAGUCGCCGAGGGUCACCAAAUCCCCAGGAAACAAGUGACCCGAAAUUUUUCCGGGGAAAAGGCCAGGUUUUCAUCCCCCGCGAUGCAAGGGAUUCAAGAAGUCCUUUCUUCCGUCGAUUCAAUGUAAAAGAGGCGAGCUGCGCUCACAGAGAAGCUUCACAAAGACGGUUCGCCAAUGUAAUGUGUGCGCAAUACACACUGGGUCAUGCCUGCGACGUGUCGAGGCGCGUCGCCCGUCUUCCUUGUUACCAAGAAUGCCAGCAACAGACCUCGGCUCUUCAUGAGCAUGCGGAAGAAACACACGCACACAAGCGAACCGUGGACUGUAGACACAACACUUGAGCCCUCCACAGAACGAAACACGGGCCGCGAUAGUGUGGACCGACUAUUUUCGAGAUUUCCCUUUCCCUGGCCGAACAGGAGAAGCAGCCGCGUCCUCGGCGUUUCACCCUAAUUACUUCGGCCAGUCCAGAGCUCAUCCUGUCCCCGGCUGAACGAGCCAGCGUCACACUUUCCUUUCUUCUAGAUUCGCAGGGACCCUAUGUGGGUCUUUUCGGCUUUUGCGUGCAGGCUGCGGAGCUGCCUUCUCUGGGAUUGCCUCGUCAACAUCUUCACGCGAGACUUGCAGCCUCCUUGUGCUUCGCGCGUUUUCGCGAGUCCAGUUCCGUCCGUUGCUGCACAGAUUGUUUCCUCGACAGGCCCACCCGUCCGCGUACAAUAGAUAAGUGGAAAAAUUCACUCAAUUGUUUGUAGAAUCCAGUAUUCGUUUCACAUCGCAAGCACACGCUGGCUGCUGAAUCCCGUUUUCCGCUGUACAUACACACCUGACGCCGCACAUAACAAUUAAAGAGAACACGCAAGGCAACUCAAAGAUCUAGUGGACGGGGUCACGGCGGCGAUUGUGACGGAGCUGUGCUUUCUGCAGCGAAAAGGAAAACGAUGACAUGUGGAGUUUGGCGGAACCGUGCGCAGUUCGCUUUCUUAUGCGCAAACCGCGGAGCGAGUAGCCAGAAGCUCGACUUUGGGGGCGCGUGACAGAGACGGCGAAAAAACUCAGCUGGGACAUUUUUCGCGCGACUGUGGACUUUGACAUUUUAAAAAAAGAUUCUCGAUUCUCGCA
rnacentral:lncRNA from 1 species